rnacentral:misc_RNA from 1 species
GUGAAUCAUCAAAUUUUUGAACGCAAAUUGCACUCUCUUCUGAGAGUAUGCCUGUUUGAGUGUCAGCCUAAAUAAAAUCGACAUAGUUGUUGUUACGAGGUAACAUUCGUCGGAACUUGGGUCAUCUUAAAUCUUUGGGUUUAUGUGGCUUAUAAUUUUCUUUUCGAUUCCAAGAACGUAUCUAAGAUUUUAUUUUCUUAUACGUUUAAGGUUUCGUUCUUUAUUAGACGUGGCCGUUGCAUUGGAUAUUGUCUAUAAAUAUUUCG